rnacentral:rRNA from 1 species
UUUUGGACAAUGGGCGCAAGCCUGAUCCAGCAAUGCCGCGUGAGUGAAGAAGGCCUUCGGGUUGUAAAGCUCUUUCGUCAGGGAAGAAACGGUGAGCUCUAAUACAGUUUGCUAAUGACGGUACCUGAAGAAUAAGCACCGGCUAACUACGUGCCAGCAGCCGCGGUAAUACGUAGGGUGCAAGCGUUAAUCGGAAUUACUGGGCGUAAAGCGUGCGCAGGCGGUUAUGUAAGUCAGAUGUGAAAUCCCCGGGCUCAACCUGGGAAUGGCAUUUGAGACUGCAUGGCUAGAGUGUGUCAGAGGGGGGUAGAAUUCCACGUGUAGCAGUGAAAUGCGUAGAGAUGUGGAGGAAUACCGAUGGCGAAGGCAGCCCCCUGGGAUAACACUGACGCUCAUGCACGAAA